rnacentral:rRNA from 1 species
UACGGAGGGUGCAAGCGUUAAUCGGAAUUACUGGGCGUAAAGCGUGCGCAGGCGGUUUGUUAAGUCUGCUGUGAAAUCCCCGAGCUCAACUUGGGAAUUGCAGUGGAUACUGGCAAGCUAGAGUAUGGUAGAGGAAGGUGGAAUUCCCGGUGUAGCAGUGAAAUGCGUAGAGAUCGGGAGGAACACCAGUGGCGAAGGCGGCCUUCUGGACCAAUACUGACGCUCAUGCCCGAAAGCGUGGGGAGCAAACAGG